UACGAAGGGGGCUAGCGUUGCCCGGAAUCACUGGGCGUAAAGCGCACGUAGGCGGCUUUUUAAGUCAGGGGUGAAAUCCUGGAGCUCAACUCCAGAACUGCCUUUGAUACUGAGAAGCUUGAGUCCGGGAGAGGUGAGUGGAACUGCGAGUGUAGAGGUGAAAUUCGUAGAUAUUCGCAAGAACACCAGUGGCGAAGGCGGCUCACUGGCCCGGUACUGACGCUGAGGUGCGAAAGCGUGGGUAGCAAACAGG
rnacentral:rRNA from 1 species